rnacentral:rRNA from 1 species
UACAGAGGGUGCAAGCGUUAAUCGGAAUUACUGGGCGUAAAGCGUGCGUAGUCGGUUAUCUAAGUCGGGUGUGAAAUCCCCGGGCUCAACCUGGGAAUUGCAGUGGAUACUGGCAAGCUAGAGUGCGGUAGAGGAUGGUGGAAUUCCCGGUGUAGCGGUGAAAUGCGUAGAGAUCGGGAGGAACACCCGUGGCGAAGGCGGCCAUCUGGACCAGCACUGACGCUGAGGCACGAAAGCGUGGGGAGCAAACAGG